rnacentral:rRNA from 1 species
CUAAGUUUGAUGGCAACCGGCGCACGGGUGAGUAACACGUAUCCAACCUGCCGAUGACUCGGGGAUAGCCUUUCGAAAGAAAGAUUAAUACCCGAUGGCAUAGUUCUUCCGCAUGGUAGAACUAUUAAAGGAUUUCGGUCAUCGAUGGGGAUGCGUUCCAUUAGGUUGUUGGCGGGGUAACGGCCCACCAAGCCUUCGAUGGAUAGGGGUUCUGAGAGGAAGGUCCCCCACAUUGGAACUGAGACACGGUCCAAACUCCUACGGGAGGCAGCAUG